rnacentral:rRNA from 2 species
GCAGUCGACGAACCCUUCGGGGUUAGUGGCGCACGGGUGCGUAACGCGUGGGAACCUGCCCUUAGGUUCGGAAUAACUCAGAGAAAUUUGAGCUAAUACCGGAUAAUGUCUUCGGACCAAAGAUUUAUCGCCUUUGGAUGGGCCCGCGUUGGAUUAGCUAGUUGGUGGGGUAAAGGCCUACCAAGGCGACGAUCCAUAGCUGGUCUGAGAGGAUGAUCAGCCACACUGGGACUGAGACACGGCCCAGACUCCUACGGGAGGCAGCAGUGGGGAAUAUUGGACAAUGGGCGAAAGCCUGAUCCAGCAAUGCCGCGUGAGUGAUGAAGGCCUUAGGGUUGUAAAGCUCUUUUACCAGGGAUGAUAAUGACAGUACCUGGAGAAUAAGCUCCGGCUAACUCCGUGCCAGCAGCCGCGGUAAUACGGAGGGAGCUAGCGUUGUUCGGAAUUACUGGGCGUAAAGCGCGCGUAGGCGGCAUGGCAAGUCAGGGGUGAAAUCCCGGGGCUCAACCCCGGAACUGCCCUUGAAACUGCCAAGCUAGAAUCCUGGAGAGGCGAGUGGAAUUCCGAGUGUAGAGGUGAAAUUCGUAGAUAUUCGGAAGAACACCAGUGGCGAAGGCGACUCGCUGGACAGGUAUUGACGCUGAGGUGC